rnacentral:rRNA from 1 species
GACAGAGGAUGCAAGCGUUAUCCGGAAUGAUUGGGCGUAAAGCGUCCGCAGGUGGCAAUGUAAGUCUGCUGUCAAAGCGUCUGGCUCAACCAGAUACAGGCAGUGGAAACUACAUAGCUAGAGUAAGGUAGGGGUAGAGGGAAUUCCUGGUGUAGCGGUGAAAUGCGUAGAGAUCAGGAAGAACACCGGUGGCGAAGGCGCUCUGCUGGACCUUAACUGACACUGAGGGACGAAAGCUAGGGGAGCGAAUGGG